GAGGGGCCGGCGCGGUCCGUGUCACCUUGCGCCUGCCGCGUGGCGCGCCGGCGGGCGUUGUUGAAGGGGAUUCUGGGGGCGGGAGGUCGCGGUCGGGAAGCUUGGGAGCAUCCUAGGCCGGCCGCCCGGUCUUGGCACCCCGCGGGAGACUGCCUUUUCCUUAGAGAGUGGGGUGAAGAAAUUCCUUUCUCUCCUUUUCCUUAUUAAUUGUCACUGCGGCGGGUUUUCAGCCUUUCCCAGAGAGGGUGUUGUUCCCUUCUUUUGGUCGUCGUUUGAAUGAGCUUCUCACAUGCCUCUCAGUGCUUACAACUUCAGAGAUCUGGAUGGUCUUUUAGCGGAUGCUAAGGGAGGGAAGUGACUUUUUCAGGCCUUAAUGCAGAUGCACUCCACCCUACCCCUGGAAAAGGGCUUUCACUGAGGCUCGUAGCGCUGGCACUGCAGGUUAAGACGUUGUGCACUAGAAGAAACUGUAUAGUGCAAAGAGCGCGCGGGCUUUGGAGUACAUAGAAACGCGAUGCCAAAGUCAAGUUUCUUCUUUUGGCUUUGGACGAGUCGUUGAAACCCUACUCAGCCUCUCUUUUAGGCUCUUUAGCCUAAGUGUGAGUUUCUCUUGUGCUUAGUAUAUUGGAAAGGGUUGAAAAGAGUCUGGCACGGCAUGAACCCCCAAGAAAUGCUGGUGGUUCCAGCAUUCUGGGGUUGCAAAAUACAGAUUUAGUAGUCCCCCCAGGGAACUACUGGCCAUCCAGGUGUCUUAAUGUGAAAUAAUGAGGUUUGGUGUUUCAUCUUUGGUAAGCCUUUCUUGAGGGCAAUCUGUUCCUUUAUGAAAUUAGUGUGUGCCGAAUAGAAUGUCCAAAUGAUGAGGCUAGUCCUGUGGGUAGUAGUCAUCCAGGAAACAUUUGUGCAAUGAAUUAAUAUUUUGGGGGGAAAAAUCUUCAUUUUGUUUAACUGAAAUAGAAAAAAAAAAACCCAGGGGCUUUAGAAGGCCCUAGGAUAUUCUUCUUUGAAGCAGUGUUGGACCAUACUAUUCUGAAUUAAGGUGGUGACUUACCUUAAAACUGUAACUGGGAAGGAAGAAAUUGCAGAGCUUUCUUAGUGGCUUGGGUCAGAAGGCUGUUAACCCAGAUACCUCCUGUGUGUGUUUGCAUCACCCUCUUGGUUAUCUGUGCUGCACUGCAAAGAUUGGCAGCCAAAAUAUUUUCUUCGAAAAUGAGUCUUGACUUUUAGAGCAAGUUUUUAUAAAGUGGCAGCUUUAUUCAGUGAGCCUAGUUUUCCUCACCGUCUUCUCUAGGUUUAUAGUCCCAGCUAGAUAAAAGUCUUAUUUUAUCGGACAUCUCGGUGUGGUUUUCUGUGGCUGUCCCUUCCUUAUCUGACUCAGCUCCUGUGUUUGACAACCGGUUUCCUAUCGUUCUGGAAAACAAAGCCUCUGAGAUCAGGAUGUCACAUGCUGCCC
rnacentral:lncRNA from 1 species